CUUUGUUUCCCACGGGUGGUUCUGGCUGCUCUCACCUCAAGUCUGUGGAAUUUUCAGAAGACUCUCAUUCAAGUGGCAGAAUCAGCGGAACGUGUGUGACCUUCACUGCAUUGUUGAAUGAUUGCCCAUCAGAAAAUACAAAGAGUAAAAGACUACUGGGCAAGGAUAAAUUCUAGAAAUUGAAAUACUGAGUCCAAGAGUAUGAACAACCCUUCAAGGUCCUAAAUGGGGGAGGACCAGAGCUGGUUAUUUAUUUAUUUAUUUAUUUAUUUAUUUAUUUAUUUAUUUAUUGUCCUGGGUAUCUGCCGUCAUGCUACUAGCUAGGUAGACAGCAGGUAAUAGGUGUGGUAAUGAUUCAGGGCCUGGGCAGGCCCUGGAGAAA